rnacentral:rRNA from 1 species
UAACGCGUAAGCAAUCUACCUUCAAGAUGGGGACAACACUUCGAAAGGGGUGCUAAUACCGAAUGAAUGUAAGAGUAUCGCAUGAGACACUUACUAAAGGAGGCCUCUGACAUAAGCUUCCGCUUGAAGAUGAGCUUGCGUCUGAUUAGCUAGUUGGUGAGGGUAAAGGCCCACCAAGGCGACGAUCAGUAGCCGGUCUGAGAGGAUGAACGGCCACAUUGGGACUGAGACACG